AGAGUUUGAUCCUGGCUCAGAACGAACGCUGGCGGCGUGGAUAAGACAUGCAAGUCGAACGAGAGAAUUGCUAGCUUGCUAAUAAUUCUCUAGUGGCGCACGGGUGAGUAACACGUGAGUAACCUGCCCCCGAGAGCGGGAUAGCCCUGGGAAACUGGGAUUAAUACCGCAUAGUAUCGAAAGAUUAAAGCAGCAAUGCGCUUGGGGAUGGGCUCGCGGCCUAUUAGUUAGUUGGUGAGGUAACGGCUCACCAAGGCGAUGACGGGUAGCCGGUCUGAGAGGAUGUCCGGCCACACUGGAACUGAGACACGGUCCAGACACCUACGGGUGGCAGCAGUCGAGAAUCAUUCACAAUGGGGGAAACCCUGAUGGUGCGACGCCGCGUGGGGGAAUGAAGGUCUUCGGAUUGUAAACCCCUGUCAUGUGGGAGCAAAUUAAAAAGAUAGUACUACAAGAGGAAGAGACGGCUAACUCUGUGCCAGCAGCCGCGGUAAUACAGAGGUCUCAAGCGUUGUUCGGAAUCACUGGGCGUAAAGCGUGCGUAGGCUGUUUCGUAAGUCGUGUGUGAAAGGCGCGGGCUCAACCCGCGGACGGCACAUGAUACUGCGAGACUAGAGUAAUGGAGGGGGAACCGGAAUUCUCGGUGUAGCAGUGAAAUGCGUAGAUAUCGAGAGGAACACUCGUGGCGAAGGCGGGUUCCUGGACAUUAACUGACGCUGAGGCACGAAGGCCAGGGGAGCGAAAGGGAUUAGAUACCCCUGUAGUCCUGGCAGUAAACGGUGCACGCUUGGUGUGCGGGGAAUCGACCCCCUGCGUGCCGGAGCUAACGCGUUAAGCGUGCCGCCUGGGGAGUACGGUCGCAAGAUUAAAACUCAAAGAAAUUGACGGGGACCCGCACAAGCGGUGGAGUAUGUGGCUUAAUUCGAUGCAACGCGAAGAACCUUACCUGGGCUUGACAUGUAAUGAACAACAUGUGAAAGCAUGCGACUCUUCGGAGGCGUUACACAGGUGCUGCAUGGCCGUCGUCAGCUCGUGUCGUGAGAUGUUUGGUUAAGUCCAGCAACGAGCGCAACCCCUGUUGCCAGUUACCAGCACGUGAAGGUGGGGACUCUGGCGAGACUGCCCAGAUCAACUGGGAGGAAGGUGGGGACGACGUCAGGUCAGUAUGGCCCUUAUGCCCAGGGCUGCACACGUACUACAAUGCCCAGUACAGAGGGGGCCGAAGCCGCGAGGCGGAGGAAAUCCUAAAAACUGGGCCCAGUUCGGACUGUAGGCUGCAACUCGCCUACACGAAGCCGGAAUCGCUAGUAAUGGCGCAUCAGCUACGGCGCCGUGAAUACGUUCCCGGGUCUUGCACUCACCGCCCGUCA
rnacentral:rRNA from 1 species